rnacentral:lncRNA from 1 species
CUGUGAGGUUACAUGGGUUGCAUGGUGAUGGUAUGGAUGAACUGUGAGGUUACAUGGGCUGCAUGGGAGAGCUAUGGGUGAGUCAUGGGUGAUCCGUGGAAGUCAUGAGCUUUAUGGUGGACUGUGGGUGCGUGGGGGCUGCAUGUGGAGAGUGUGUAGUGGCUGUGAGAGCUGUGGUGAGGUGUAGGUGAUCCGUGGAGGUCAUGGGCUACAUGA